UUUGGGCAAGAAGACCCUAUGAAUUUUAAAAAUUUCAAUAAAAUACAGUAUUUUAUUGAAAUUUUUUAAUUGGGGCGAUUAUUAAAUAUUAAAAACUUUAAUUUUUUUAAAAAAGAACCAAUAAUAUUGGUUAUUUGAAAAAAUACUCUAGGGAUAACAGCGUAAUAAUUUUUGAUAGUUCUUAUAGACAAAAUAGUUUGCGACCUCGAUGUUGGAUUAGGAUUCUUUUUUAAUGAAGAAGUUAAAAAAAGAAGUUUGUUCAACUUUUAAAAUCCUACUUGAUCUGAGUUCAGACCGG
rnacentral:rRNA from 1 species